rnacentral:rRNA from 1 species
CCUACGGGGGGCAGCAGUGGGGAAUAUUGCACAAUGGGCGCAAGCCUGAUGCAGCGACGCCGCGUGAGGGAUGACGGCCUUCGGGUUGUAAACCUCUUUCAGUAGGGAAGAAGCGAAAGUGACGGUACCUGCAGAAGAAGCACCGGCUAACUACGUGCCAGCAGCCGCGGUAAUACGUAGGGUGCGAGCGUUAUCCGGAAUUAUUGGGCGUAAAGAGCUCGUAGGCGGUUUGUCGCGUCUGUCGUGAAAGUCCGGGGCUUAACCCCGGAUCUGCGGUGGGUACGGGCAGACUAGAGUGCAGUAGGGGAGACUGGAAUUCCUGGUGUAGCGGUGGAAUGCGCAGAUAUCAGGAGGAACACCGAUGGCGAAGGCAGGUCUCUGGGCUGUAACUGACGCUGAGGAGCGAAAGCAUGGGGAGCGAACAGGAUUAGAUACCCGGGUAGUC